rnacentral:misc_RNA from 1 species
ACAAAUCGAGUGCGCUUCGGCGCAUAUUAACCCGAACCCGGCGGGAACGCUGGGCUAGGUGCACGGUUCGCCGUGCGCGCAGUGCGAACGGGGACCAUUUACCGGUCUCUGGGAACACUGUGCACAUAGACGCUUGCAUGUUUUUUGGUUUAGUUGACAACAUUUAAAUUGA